rnacentral:rRNA from 1 species
GUACACGCUGUGACUAGCAUAUCAAUAAGCGGAGGAAAGAGCUGAACUGAUGCAGGUACCUACGCUUAGGAUGUUGACGAGACUGUCGAUCUCAUCUAUACAUGACUCUGCGCAUAUCAAUAAGCGGAGGAAAAGAAACUAACAAGGAUUCCCCUAGUAACGGCGAGUGAAGCGGGAAGAGCUCAAAUUUGAAAUCUUAAAGGGUUUCCCUUUACGAAUUGUAGUUUAAAGAAGUGUUUUCUGUUGAGGUUUUGGUAAAAGUUCUUUGGAAUAGGACAUCAUAGAGGGUGAGAAUCCCGUAUUUGACCUUUACUUUCAACUUUGUGAUACACUUUCAAAGAGUCGGAUUGUUUGGGAAUGCAGUCCAAAAUGGGUGGUAAAUUUCAUCUAAAGCUAAAUAUUGGCGAGAGACCGAUAGCGAACAAGUACCGUGAGGGAAAGAUGAAAAGAACUUAGAAAAGAGAGUUAAACAGUACGUGUAAUUGUCAAAAGGGAAGCGUUUGACACCAGUGUUGUUUUUCUGAAAAUCAAUUAAAGAACUGUUUAUGCUAAGCUGUUUAGACUUUAUCAGCUAUCUGUUUAGUUUUGAGCUUUUCUUUAAUGCACUUUUCAGUUAACAAGUCAACAUCAAUUUCUUUUGCUGUAAAAAAGCUUGAGGAAGGUGGCUUGAGAUUCGUCUUAAGUGUUUAUAGCCUCUUGCCUAUGCAGUCGGAGAGAUUGAGGUCUGCAGCGUAGAUCCUUCGGGGCUAAAUGCAUUUGUGCUAAGUUAUAGCAUUUUAUAGACAACUUGUUGACUAUGAUUUGUCUUGUAGCUUACUCGCUUAUGUUAUUUUACCUACGCUUAGGAUGUUGACGAGACUGUCGAUCUC